ACUUUUGAGUGAUCGCGCCUUUGGUGAGGAAAGUCCAUACUCGCACAAACUGAGAUGUUUGUAGUGUUCAUGCAAAAUUAAAAAAUAAAUUUUGGUACAUUUAUAUGUAACGGCGGAAUUAUAUCCCUAAGUAGAAAUAUAUGGGAUAUUAUCUGUAAAGUGCCACAGUGACGUAGUUUUUAUAGAAAUAUAAAAAGUGGAACGCGGUAAACCCCUUGAGCGAGCAAUUCAAAUUUUGGUAGAAGCAUUUAUUUUGUAGAAAUGAAUACAAAAUAGGAGACAUUUUGUCUAGACAGAUGAUCACACUACUAUUACGAGGGCUAGUUACCUGUUUGAGUAAGGUAGAACAGAAUAUGGCUUAUGAUA
rnacentral:RNase_P_RNA from 2 species